rnacentral:rRNA from 1 species
AAUAGAUACCCGGGUAGUCCACGCCGUAAACGAUGUCGACUUGGAGGUUGUUCCCUUGAGGAGUGGCUUCCGGAGCUAACGCGUUAAGUCGACCGCCUGGGGAGUACGGCCGCAAGGUUAAAACUCAAAUGAAUUGACGGGGGCCCGCACAAGCGGUGGAGCAUGUGGUUUAAUUCGAUGCAACGCGAAGAACCUUACCUACUCUUGACAUCCAGAGAACUUAGCAGAGAUGCUUUGGUGCCUUCGGGAACUCUGAGACAGGUGCUGCAUGGCUGUCGUCAGCUCGUGUUGUGAAAUGUUGGGUUAAGUCCCGCAACGAGCGCAACCCUUAUCCUUUGUUGCCAGCGGUCCGGCCGGGAACUCAAAGGAGACUGCCAGUGAUAAACUGGAGGAAGGUGGGGAUGACGCCAAGUCAUCAUGGCCCUUACGAGUAGGGCUACACACGUGCUACAAUGGCGCAUACAAAGAGAAGCGACCUCGCGAGAGCAAGCGGACCUCAUAAAGUGCGUCGUAGUCCGGAUUGGAGUCUGC